AGAGUUUGAUCCUGGCUCAGGACGAACGCUGGCGGCGGGCUUAACACAUGCAAGUCGAAGGGGAUCCGGUUCUUCGGAAACGGUGAGACUGGCGCACGGGUGAGUAACACGUAUGUAAUCUACCUACAGGUGGGGGAUAACCCAGCGAAAGCUGGGCUAAUACCGCAUAAUGCAGCGGGGCCGCAUGGCCACAGUUGUUAAAGAUUUAUUGCCUGUAGAUGAACAUGCGUCGCAUUAGUUAGUUGGCGGGGUAACGGCCCACCAAGACGAUGAUGCGUAGCUGGUCUGAGAGGAUGAUCAGCCACACUGGCACUGAGACACGGGCCAGACUCCUACGGGAGGCAGCAGUGAGGAAUAUUGCGCAAUGGAGGAAACUCUGACGCAGCCACGCCGCGUGCAGGAAGAAGGUUCUAUGAAUCGUAAACUGCUUUUAUUCGGGAAGAACGGCCGGCUUUUGAGCUGGUGUGACGGUACCGAAUGAAUAAGCACCGGCUAACUCCGUGCCAGCAGCCGCGGUAAUACGGAGGGUGCUAGCGUUGUCCGGAAUCAUUGGGUGUAAAGGGUGCGUAGGCGGAUUUUUAAGUCUGGGGUGAAAUGCUGCGGCUCAACCGUAGCACUGCCUUGGAUACUGGAGAUCUUGAGGGUAACAGAGGCCGGUAGAAUUCGUGGUGUAGCGGUGAAAUGCAUAGAUAUCACGAAGAAUACCAGUGGCGUAGGCGGCCGGCUGGGUUACCUCUGACGCUGAGGCACGAGAGCGUGGGGAGCGAACAGGAUUAGAUACCCUGGUAGUCCACGCCGUAAACGAUGUAUACUAGGUGUUGGCCCUGCUUCGGUGGGGUCAGUGCUGCAGCUAACGCAUUAAGUAUACCACCUGGGGAGUACGUCGGCAACGAUGAAACUCAAAGGAAUUGACGGGGGCCCGCACAAGCGGUGGAGCAUGUGGCUUAAUUCGAUGCAACGCGAAGAACCUUACCCGGGCUAAAUCACUAUGGACGGUCUGCGAAAACAGGCUUCCCUUCGGGGCUGUAGUGAAGGUGCUGCAUGGCUGUCGUCAGCUCGUGCCGUGAGGUGUUGGGUUAAGUCCCGCAACGAGCGCAACCCCUGUGGCCAGUUACCAGCAUGUAAAGAUGGGGACUCUGGUCAGACUGCCUACGCAAGUAGUGAGGAAGGUGGGGACGACGUCAAGUCAUCAUGGCCCUUACGUCCGGGGCUGCACACGUGCUACAAUGGGCGGUACAGAGGGAAGCUACCUGGUGACAGGAUGCUAAUCUCGAAAACCGUUCUCAGUUCGGAUCGUAGUCUGCAACUCGACUACGUGAAGUUGGAAUCGCUAGUAAUCGCGUAUCAGCUACGACGCGGUGAAUACGUUCCCGGGCCUUGUACACACCGCCCGUCAAGCGAUGGAAGUGGGUAGUACCUGACGGCGCUGUGCCAACCGCAAGGGGGCAGGUGUCUAGGGUAAGACGCAUAACUGGCGCUAAGUCGUAACAAGGUAGCCGUACCGGAAGGUGCGGCUG
rnacentral:rRNA from 1 species